GUGCCCUGUCUUUGGAGCAGCUACAGGAGUCAGGCCCAGACUAGAAGAGCCCACACUGACCUUCUGCAUCACUUAUGCUCUCUCUGGCCACUACAUCACAAACAGUGCUUAUGACUGGGCCUGAAUCUGCCAGCCCAGGAAAGGGCUGGAAUGGAUGGGGUGCAUUGGU